rnacentral:snRNA from 1 species
AUCGCUUCUCGGCCUUUUGGCUAAGAUCAAGUGUAAAACUGUUCUUAAAAAAGUGUAUCUCAAAAAUAAAUGGAUAACAUGACCUUGAAUAUAAACACCCA